AGUAAAAAGUGAUCAGAAAAAUAAGUAGUGGAAUGUACUUAAGUACAGUAACGAGGUAUUUGUACUCCGCUACUUCCUACCUCUGACCAACGUGUAUCUCUAUAUUCAGAGCACCCAGUAUAAGACGGUGGAGCGGGUGGUGCAGACUCUGAAGAACCUGUGCUGUGCUCUGGACGAGACGGAGACCCAGGCCAUCACUGAGGCCGUCAAAAGGCUGAAACACUCCGUCAACUUACCCCAGACACGCUCCCCCAAGAUGGGGUCCACAUCGUCUGGUCAAUCGUCAAAUGGAAAGUGGGCACGCGAUGACAGCUUCCUUGACACCAUC